UUCCUACGGGUGGCAGCAGUGGGGAAUUUUGGACAAUGGGGGCAACCCUGAUCCAGCCAUGCCGCGUGAGUGAAGAAGGCCUUCGGGUUGUAAAGCUCUUUCGGCUGGGAAGAAAUCGCAUCUCCUAAUACGGGGUGUGGAUGACGGUACCAGCAUAAGAAGCACCGGCUAACUACGUGCCAGCAGCCGCGGUAAUACGUAGGGUGCGAGAGUUAAUCGGAAUUACUGGGCGUAAAGCGUGCGCAGGCGGUUUCGUAAGACAGUGGUGAAAUCCCCGGGCUCAACCUGGGAACUGCCUUUGUGACUGCGAGGCUAGAGUAUGGCAGAGGGGGGUGGAAUUCCACGUGUAGCAGUGAAAUGCGUAGAGAUGUGGAGGAACACCGAUGGCGAAGGCAGCCCCCUGGGCCAAUACUGACGCUCAUGCACGAAAGCGUGGGGAGCAAACAGGAUUAGAUACCCCUGUAGUCC
rnacentral:rRNA from 1 species